AACGAACGCUGGCGGCAGGCCUAAUACAUGCAAGUCGAACGCUCCAGCAAUGGAGAGUGGCAGACGGGUGAGUAACGCGUGGGAACCUUCCCAGUGGUACGGAAUAGCUCAGGGAAACUUGAGGUAAUACCGUAUACGCCCUUUGGGGGAAAGAUUUAUCGCCAUUGGAUGGGCCCGCGUCGGAUUAGCUAGUUGGUGGGGUAAUGGCCUACCAGGGCGACGAUCCGUAGCUGGUCUGAGAGGAUGAUCAGCCACACUGGGACUGAGACACGGCCCAGACUCCUACGGGAGGCAGCAGUAGGGAAUAUUGGACAAUGGGCGAAAGCCUGAUCCAGCCAUGCCGCGUGAGUGACGAAGGCCUUCGGGUUGUAAAGCUCUUUUGGCGGGAAGAUAAUGACGGUACCCGCAGAAGAAGCCCCGGCUAACUUCGUGCCAGCCGCCGCAGUAAAAC
rnacentral:rRNA from 1 species